AGACACAUUUUUUUCAUAUCAAGAGAAAAGAUAAUUCUGAUGUUAAGGUUUGAGAGCUAAAUUAGCAGCAUGUCUAUUUUAGCCACUUCUGUCAGUUACAUUCAGACAAGA
rnacentral:snoRNA from 14 species